rnacentral:rRNA from 1 species
AUUGAACGCUGGCGGCAGGCUUAACACAUGCAAGUCGAACGAGUGGCGGACGGGUGAGUAAUGUUUGGGAAUCUGGCUUAUGGAGGGGGAUAACGACGGGAAACUGUCGCUAAUACCGCGUACCAUAGGCUGAGCCCAUGUGGGAUUAGGUAGUUGGUGGGGUAAGGGCACACCAAGGCGACGAUCGCUAGCGGGUCUGAGAGGAUGACCAGCCACACCUGGACUGAGCAACGGCCCGGACUCCUACGGGAGGCAGCAGUGGGGAAUAUUGCGCAAUGGGGGCAACCCUGACGCAGCCAUUCCGCGUGAAUGAAGAAGUCCUUCGGGUUGUAAAGUUCUUUCGGUGACGAAGCGUUAUCCACAGAAGAAGCACCGGCUAACUCCGUGCCAGCAGCCGCGGUAAUUC